UACGAAGGGGGCUAGCGUUGUUCGGAAUUACUGUGCGUAAAGCGCACGUAGGCGGACAUUUAAGUCAGGGGUGAAAUCCCAGAGCUCAACUCUGGAACUGCCUUUGAUACUGGGUGUCUUGAGUAUGGAAGAGGUGAGUGGAAUUCCGAGUGUAGAGGUGAAAUUCGUAGAUAUUCGGAGGAACACCAGUGGCGAAGGCGGCUCACUGGCUCGGUACUGACGCUGAGGUGCGAAAGCGUGGGGAGCAAACAGG
rnacentral:rRNA from 1 species